rnacentral:rRNA from 1 species
GACGGAAGGUGCAAGCGUUGCUCGGAAUCACUGGGCGUAAAGGGUGCGUAGGCGGCUUCUUAAGUCUGGUGUGAAAGCCCAGGGCUCAGCUCUGGAAGUGCACUAGAAACUGGGAAGCUUGAGUACCGGAGGGGAGAGUGGAAUUCCUGGUGUAGCGGUGAAAUGCGUAGAGAUCUGGAGGAACACCGAUGGCGAAGGCAGCCCCCUGGGCUAACACUGACGCUCAUGCACGAAAGCGUGAGGAGCAAACAGG